rnacentral:lncRNA from 1 species
ACUAAGAAGUUGCUGAUGACAGACUUUUGGUGGUGAUGUUUCGUGGUUGAGUUUAAGGUGUGAACCCGAACAGUUGUUAUGAAACAGGCUGAAUUGCUGCUUUUCGGGUAGUUUUUUGGUGCCCGAAGAUGAUUCUGGAUAUGGGUUCUGUUUUAGGGCCCGGGUCGAGUAUGUGGGUUCUUCUUCACACUUGACCAUUCCCGUCCAUAGUGGGUUCGUGAGAGUUGGUGUUUGGUACAUGUGUGGACUUGCAAAUUGUAACAUCGUGACCUUGGUGAGUGGAGAAAAGCCCUGCAGCACGUGAGGUAUCGGGUUGAGGCUUUCUUCUCCUACGGUUAUGUCCAUCAAGACGUUUUCUGCAGCUUCGUUUUCCCUCAUCGAAUUCUUCUAGUGAAU